UGCGUAGGCGGAAUUUUAAGUCAGUGGUGAAAUCCUGCAGCUCAACUGUAGAACUGCCAUUGAUACUGAUCUUCUUGAAUUUAGUUGAGGUGGGCGGAACGUGUAAUGUAGCGGUGAAAUGCUUAGAUAUUACACAGAACACCGAUUGCGAAGGCAGCUCACUAAACUAACAUUGACGCUGAGGCACGAAAGCGUGGGUAGCGAACAGGAUUAGAUACCCUGGUAGUC
rnacentral:rRNA from 1 species